GGGAAGGGAAACUUCCCAGGUAACCACCUAAAGCCUACUUGUGCAUAGUAAAAUGAGGACCGUCAUGUAAUGUGCCGGGAAAAAGAAAUAAAGGCCUGUCAUGGCAGAGGCCAUGCCUUUUG